rnacentral:lncRNA from 1 species
GUUUAGAGGUCAUUAUAUCACAUCCAGCAGAGGCCUUUGUCAGGCCUGGCUUGCCCAGUUGUCACCAGCAGCCCUAGGCUGUGGCCCCUCAGUACCAUCCCAGCCUCCACCUAGGCAAGCUCGCGGACAACUGCAACACGCUCCAAGAUCACCACAGUCUUAGGAUUCCAUAGGCUGGGAUAUAGGUCAGCGGGAGAACCCUGCCAAGCAUGGACGGCUGAGCUGGAAUUGUGGGAUCCCAAAAUGUUUGCCAACGGACAAACUCAAACUGAGUCCUGUGCUGGUUACUUAACUGUCAAUGUGACAGACUCUAGACUCACCCAGGACAUAGACUGGAUGGAUAUAAAACUCUCAGCACCAUGUCUGCUUGCGCGAGACCCCAUGACAAUAACGUGCUAAACUUCUGAAACUGUAAGCAAGUCCCAGGUCCAUAACCAUGGCUUUUGAACACAGCAAGAGAGUGAAUACAGACUGCUAAAGGCACAGCGGAAGGACGUGUGGCCCUGACAUAAGAUGUGCUAUGAUCUCAAAGUGUUCGGAGGUAGCUGGUCCAACUUCUCAUCUUACCGUGUGCAACACUUACUCUUUAAGGCUGGAGAGGAGUCACUGCUGAAAAGUCACUGCGUUUUCAU